rnacentral:rRNA from 1 species
UACGCAGGGGGCUAGUGUUGCUCGGAAUCACUGGGCGUAAAGCGCACGUAGGCGGAUUGUUAAGUCAGGGGUGAAAUCCUGGAGCUCAACUCCAGAACUGCCUUUGAUACUGGCGAUCUCGAGUCCGGGAGAGGUGAGUGGAACUGCGAGUGUAGAGGUGAAAUUCGUAGAUAUUCGCAAGAACACCAGUGGCGAAGGCGGCUCACUGGCCCGGUACUGACGCUGAGGUGCGAAAGCGUGGGGAGCAAACAGG